rnacentral:rRNA from 1 species
CAAGUCGAACGAAUCCCGGGGUAGCAAUACCUCGGGGGAAGUGGCGAAAGGGGCAGUAAUACAUGGAUAACCUACCCUGGGGAUGGGCAUAGCCGUUCUAACGAGCGGGUAAUACCCAGCGAUUCGGCUGGUUGGCAUCAAUCGGCCGGGAAAUGAAUUUCGCCUCGGGAGGGGUCCAUGCGAUAUCAGCUAGUUGGUGGGGUAACGGCCCACCAAGGCUUAGACGUCUAGCGGGUGUGAGAGCACGACCCGCGCCACUGGCACUGAGACACUGGCCAGACACCUACGGGUGGCUGCAGUCGAGGAUCUUCGUCAAUGGGCGCAAGCCUGAACGAGCGAUGCCGCGUGAGCGAUGAAGGCCUUCGGGUUGUAAAGCUCAAAAGGGGUGAGAAAGGGAAACUUGAUCGAACCCCAGUAAGCUCGGGCUAAGUUCGUGCCAGCAGCCGCGGUAAGACGAACCGAGCGAACGUUGUUCGGAAUCACUGGGCUUAAAGGGCGCGUAGGCGGGUGCUCAAGUCUGUGGUGAAAUCCUCCGGCUCAACCGGAGAACUGCCAUGGAUACUGGGUGCCUCGAGGGUGGUAGGGGUAUGCGGAACUAUCGGUGGAGCGGUGAAAUGCGUUGAUAUCGAUAGGAACUCCGGUGGCGAAGGCGGCAUACUGGACCACUUCUGACGCUGAGGCGCGAAAGCCAGGGGAGCGAACGGGAUUAGAUACCCCGGUAGUCCUGGCCCUAAACGAUGGGAACUAGCUAGUAGGGUUCACAUGGCUUUACUGGCGAAGCAAAAGUGCUAAGUUCCCCGCCUGGGGAGUAUGGUCGCAAGGCUGAAACUCAAAGGAAUUGACGGGGGCUCACACAAGCGGUGGAGCAUGUGGCUUAAUUC